GACGUAGGGCGCGAGCGUUGUCCGGAUUUAUUGGGCGUAAAGAGCUCGUAGGCGGCUUGUUGCGUCGACUGUGAAAACCCGCGGCUCAACCGUGUGGUCUGCAGUCGAUACGGGCAGGCUAGAGUUCGGUAGGGGAGACUGGAAUUCCUGGUGUAGCAGUGAAAUGCGCAGAUAUCAGGAGGAACACCGGUGGCGAAGGCGGGUCUCUGGGCCGAUACUGACGCUGAGGAGCGAAAGCGUGGGGAGCGAACAGG
rnacentral:rRNA from 1 species